GUGGGGAAUAUUGGACAAUGGGCGAAAGCCUGAUCCAGCCAUGCCGCGUGUGUGAAGAAGGUCUUCGGAUUGUAAAGCACUUUAAGUUGGGAGGAAGGGUAGUAACCUAAUACGUUGCUACUUUGACGUUACCGACAGAAUAAGCACCGGCUAACUUCAUGCCAGCAGCCGCGGUAAUACGAAGGGUGCAAGCGUUAAUCGGAAUUACUGGGCGUAAAGCGCGCGUAGAUGGUUCAGUAAGUUGGAAGUGAAAUCCCCGGGCUCAACCUGGGAACUGCUUUCAAAACUGCUGAGCUAGAGUACGGUAGAGGGUGGUGGAAUUUCCUGUGUAGCGGUGAAAUGCGUAGAUAUAGGAAGGAACACCAGUGGCGAAGGCGACCACCUGGACUGAUACUGACACUGAGGUGCGAAAGCGUGGGGAGCAAACAGGAUUAGAAACCCUAGUAGUCC
rnacentral:rRNA from 1 species